GCCAGACUCCUACGGGAGGCAGCAGUGGGGGAUAUUGCACAAUGGGGGAAACCCUGAUGCGGCGACGCCGCGUGAGUGAAGAAGUAUUUCGGUAUGUAAAGCUCUCUCAGCAGGGAAGAAAAAAGACGGUACCUGACUAAGAAGCCCCGGCUAACUACGUGCCAGCAGCCGCGGUAAUACGUAGGGGGCAAGCGUUAUCCGGAUUUACUGGGUGUAAAGGGAGCGUAGACGGCAAUACAAGUCGGAAGUGAAAUACCCGGGCUCAACCUGGGAACUGCUUUGGAAACUGUAUGGCUGGAGUGCUGGAGAGGUAAGCGGAAUUCCUAGUGUAGCGGUGAAAUGCGUAGAUAUUAGGAGGAACACCAGUGGCGAAGGCGGCUUACUGGACAGUAACUGACGUUGAGGCUCGAAAGCGUGGGGAGCAAACAGGAUUAGAUACCCGGGUAC
rnacentral:rRNA from 1 species